rnacentral:rRNA from 1 species
ACGGAGCAAGACCGCGUGAGGGAGGAAGGCUCUUGGGUUGUAAACCUCUUUUCUCAGGGAAGAAGCUCUGACGGUACCUGAGGAAUCAGCCUCGGCUAACUCCGUGCCAGCAGCCGCGGUAAUACGGAGGAGGCAAGCGUUAUCCGGAAUUAUUGGGCGUAAAGCGUCCGCAGGUGGCGAUUCAAGUCUGCUGUCAAAGCACGGGGCUUAACUCCGUUAAGGCAGUGGAAACUGAAUAGCUAGAGUGCCGUAGGGGUAGAGGGAAUUCCCGGUGUAGCGGUGAAAUGCGUAGAGAUCGGGAAGAACAUCGGUGGCGAAAGCGCUCUACUGGACGGCAACUGACACUCAGGGACGAAAGCUAGGGGAGCGAAUGGGAUUAGAUACCCCAGUAGUC